rnacentral:tRNA from 1 species
CGGCGGGAUGGGCGAAGACGGUCACGCCGCCCGCGGCCUUGACCAGCCGGAUCAUCUCGAAGGGGUCGGACUCGUGCUUCUGGAUGUGCGCCCGCCCGCC